rnacentral:rRNA from 2 species
CGCGGCCUAUCAGCUUGUUGGUGGGGUAACGGCCUACCAAGGCUUCGACGGGUAGCUGGUCUGAGAGGAUGAUCAGCCACACUGGGACUGAGACACGGCCCAGACUCCUACGGGAGGCAGCAGUGGGGAAUCUUGCGCAAUGGGCGAAAGCCUGACGCAGCAACGCCGCGUGCGGGAUGACGGCCCUCGGGUUGUAAACCGCUUUCAGCAGGAACGAAUCUGACGGUACCUGCAGAAGAAGGUCCGGCCAACUACGUGCCAGCAGCCGCGGUAACACGUAGGGACCAAGCGUUGUCCGGAUUUAUUGGGCGUAAAGAGCUCGUAGGCGGUUCGGUAAGUCGGGUGUGAAAACUCUGGGCUCAACUCAGAGAGGCCACCCGAUACUGCCGUGACUUGAGUCCGGUAGGGGAGCACGGAAUUCCUGGUGUAGCGGUGAAAUGCGCAGAUAUCAGGAGGAACACCGGUGGCGAAGGCGGUGCUCUGGGCCGGUACUGACGCUGAGGAGCGAAAGCGUGGGUAGCAAACAGGAUUAGAUACCCUGGUAGUCCACGCCGUAAACGUUGGGCACUAGGUGUGGGACCCCGCCAACGGGUUCUGUGCCGCAGCUAACGCAUUAAGUGCCCCGCCUGGGGAGUACGG